AUUGAACGCUGGCGGCGUGCUUAACACAUGCAAGUCGAUCGGUAACAGGUGUAGCAAUACAUGCUGACGAGAGGCGGACGGGUGAGUAAUGCUUGGGAAUCUGCCUAUUAGUGGGGGACAACCCGGGGAAACUCGGGCUAAUACCGCAUACGCUCUACGGAGGAAAGCCGGGGACCGCAAGGCCUGGCGCUAAUAGAUGAGCCCAAGUCGGAUUAGCUAGUUGGUAGGGCAACGGCCUACCAAGGCGACAAUCCGUAGCUGGUCUGAGAGGACGACCAGCCACACCGGAACUGAGACACGGUCCGGACUCCUACGGGAGGCAGCAGUGGGGAAUAUUGGACAAUGGGGCAACCCUGAUCCAGCGACGCCGCGUGGGUGAAGAAGGCCUGCGGGUUGUAAAGCCCUUUCGGUGGGGAAGAAAAGUCUCGACCUAAUACGUCGGGACCUUGACGUAACCCACUAAAGAAGCACCGGCUAACUCUGUGCCAGCAGCCGCAGUAAC
rnacentral:rRNA from 1 species